rnacentral:rRNA from 1 species
GACGAACGCUGGCGGCGUGCCUAACAUAUGCAAGUCGAACGAGAACGGAUUAUAGCUUGCUAUAAUUGUCAGCUAAGUGGCGCACGGGUGAGUAAUGUAUAGGUAAUAUGCCUCUUACUAAGGGAUAACAAAUGGAAACGUUUGCUAAUACCUUAUACUCCUUAUUAACAGAAGUUAAUAAGGGAAAGAUUUAUUGGUAAGAGAUUAGCCUGUAUUGUAUCAGUUAGUUGGUGGGGUAAUGGCUUACCAAGACUAUGACACAUAACUGGUUUGAGAGGAUGAUCAGUCACACUGGAACUGAGACACGGUCCAGACUCCUACGGGAGGCAGCAGUGGGGAAUAUUGCACAAUGGACGAAAGUCUGAUGCAGCAACGCCGCGUGGAGGAUGACACAUUUCGGUGCGUAAACUCCUUUUAUAUGAGAAGAUAAUGACGGUAUUAUAUGAAUAAGCACCGGCUAACUCCGUGCCAGCAGCCGCCGUAAUAC